rnacentral:tmRNA from 1 species
GGGGAUGACUUGGUUUCGACAGGGAGGUUGGACUUUCCGGUUGCAUGCCGAGGUGCCGUUGGCCUCGUAAAAAGCGGCAAAACAAGAAACGCAAAUAACGAUUUUGCAUUGGCAGCUUAAGCCUGCCCGUCCUUCUGCGGUAUUUCCGCGGCUUCAGCAAGGGCGACAAAUAGCGGAAUAGUGACCCGAGCCUUUUCGCAGGGCAAGGGAAGCGAAAUCAAUUGCGAAAAAGUGCGGGAGAUCCUGCUGCUGGGAGCUUGAGCACUCAUUAAAACAGACAGCUAAGCGUGUAGAUACCUGAUUUUCCCCCUUUUUGGACGCGGGUUCGAUUCCCGCCAUCUCCACCA